GACGAACGCUGGCGGCGUGCUUAACACAUGCAAGUCGAACGGAAAGGCCCUGCUUUUGUGGGGUGCUCGAGUGGCGAACGGGUGAGUGACACGUGAGUAACCUGCCCUUGACUUUGGGAUAACUUCAGGAAACUGGGGCUAAUACCGGAUAGGAGCUCCUGCUGCAUGGUGGGGGUUGGAAAGUUUCGGCGGUUGGGGAUGGACUCGCGGCUUAUCAGCUUGUUGGUGGGGUAGUGGCUUACCAAGGCUUUGACGGGUAGCCGGCCUGAGAGGGUGACCGGCCACAUUGGGACUGAGAUACGGCCCAGACUCCUACGGGAGGCAGCAGUGGGGAAUAUUGCACAAUGGGCGGAAGCCUGAUGCAGCAACGCCGCGUGCGGGAUGACGGCCUUCGGGUUGUAAACCGCUUUCGCCUGUGAUGAAGCGUGAGUGACGGUAAUGGGUAAAGAAGCGCCGGCUAACUACGUG
rnacentral:rRNA from 1 species